rnacentral:lncRNA from 1 species
AAGCCUGUGAAGAAGUAAAAGAAUGAGACCAAGCCCAAGAAAAAAGUUCCAAAGAAGGCCGACGACAAAAGUGAAGGGAAGGAAAUAGUUUCCUCCAGAAUGCCCAGGUUGCAUCUAAAAAUUUUCUCUAAUAUUCUACUUAUUUAAGGAUCAAAUUCUUACCUAAAUCACAGUGAAACUAGGGAUCAAAUCUCAAAUUAUUUGAUAUAAACCUUCACGGAGGUCGGGAUAUGCAGACCCUCUACUUCACAUGCACGUCAGAUGCUGCAGGAAAGUAGGAUGAACUCCAAUCCAAUUGACUUCGCAUACACAAUCAAUCGAGGGAUGAGAUGUAAUGAUGUGACAUCUCACACCAGUAAGUAGGAUGCCCAAGAAGGAUCAACACCCAA